rnacentral:rRNA from 1 species
CGCACGGGUGAGUAACACGUGAGUGACCUGCCUUUUAGACUGGAACAACUUACCGAAAGGUGAGCUAAUGCCGGAUGAGUUAUAUAAGUGCAUGUUUAUAUAGGAAAAGUUGGGGAGACCUGACGCUGAAAGAUGGACUCGCGUCCCAUUAGCUAGUCGGUAGGGUAAUGGCCUACCAAGGCGACGAUGGGUAGCCGGCCUGAGAGGGUGGCCGGCCACACUGGGACUGAGACACGGCCCAGACUCCUACGGGAGGCAGCAG